rnacentral:rRNA from 1 species
GACGAACGCUGGCGGCGUGCUUAACACAUGCAAGUUGAACGGAAAGGCCCUGCUUUUGUGGGGUGCUCGAGUGGCGAACGGGUGAGUAACACGUGAGUAACCUGCCCUUGACUUUGGGAUAACUUCAGGAAACUGGGGCUAAUACCGGAUAGGAGCUCCUGCUGCAUGGUGGGGGUUGGAAAGUUUCGGCGGUUGGGGAUGGGCUCGCGGCUUAUCAGAUUGUUGGUGGGGUAGUGGCUUACCAAGGCUUUGACGGGUAGCCGGCCUGAGAGGGUGACCGGCAACAUUGGGACUGAGAUACGGCACAGACUCCUACGGGAGGCAGCAGUGGGGAAUAUUGCACAAUGGGCGGAAGCCUGAUGCAGCAACGCCGCGUGCGGGAUGACGGCCUUCGGGUUGUAAACCGCUUUCGCCUGUGACGAAGCGUGAGUGACGGUAAUGGGUAAAGAAGCACCGGCUAACUACGUG